rnacentral:piRNA from 1 species
AGUGUAAAAUCCUGUCUCAAUAAAA